AGAGUUUGAUCAUGGCUCAGAACGAACGCUGGCGGCAUGCCUAACACAUGCAAGUCGAACGAGCACUUCGGUGCGAGUGGCGAACGGGUGAGUAACGCGUGGGAAUCUGCCUCAAAGUGGGGAAUAACCAACGGAAACGGUGGCUAAUACCCCAUACCCCCUGCGGGGGAAAGUUUUUCGCUUUGAGAUGAGCCCGCGUCGGAUUAGGUUGUUGGUGAGGUAAAAGCUCACCAAGCCUGUGAUCCGUAGCUGGUCUGAGAGGAUGAACAGCCACACUGGGACUGAGACACGGUCCAGACUCCUACGGGAGGCAGCAGUGGGGAAUAUUGGACAAUGGGGGAAACCCUGAUCCAGCAAUGCCGCGUGAGUGAUGAAGGCCUUAGGGUUGUAAAACU
rnacentral:rRNA from 1 species